GUGAACCCCGGUGAAACCCAGUGG
rnacentral:piRNA from 1 species